CGAACCGUGUCAGGUCCGGAAGGAAGCAGCACUAAG
rfam:Carboxydothermus hydrogenoformans Z-2901, complete genome.